GACGAACGCUGGCGGCGUGCCUAAUACAUGCAAGUUGAGCGCUGAAGGUUGGUACUUGUACCAACUGGAUGAGCAGCGAACGGGUGAGUAACGCGUGGGGAAUCUGCCUUUGAGCGGGGGACAACAUUUGGAAACGAAUGCUAAUACCGCAUAAAAACUUUAAACACAAGUUUUAAGUUUGAAAGAUGCAAUUGCAUCACUCAAAGAUGAUCCCGCGUUGUAUUAGCUAGUUGGUGAGGUAAAGGCUCACCAAGGCGAUGAUACAUAGCCGACCUGAGAGGGUGAUCGGCCACAUUGGGACUGAGACACGGCCCAAACUCCUACGGGAGGCAGCAGUAGGGAAUCUUCGGCAAUGGACGAAAGUCUGACCGAGCGACGCCGCGUGAGUGAAGAAGGUUUUCGGAUCGUAAAACUCUGUUGGUAGAGAAGAACGUUGGUGAGAGUGGAAAGCUCAUCAAGUGACGGUAACUACCCAGAAAGGGACGGCUAACUACGU
rnacentral:rRNA from 1 species